rnacentral:rRNA from 1 species
AGCUCCAAUAGCGUACAUUAAAGUUGUUGCAGUUAAAAAGCUCGUAGUUGCAUUUCCGAGGCAAGGGAUUAGUCCGACCUUUGGUGGGUAUUUAAUCCUCUUGCCUCGUCCUUGAGUGGUGCUUCUUGGUAUUAAGUUAUCGAGGAGAUAGCCGCUCAUCGUUUACUGUGAGAAAAUUAGAGUGUUCAAAGCAGGCUUAUGCCGUUGAAUAUAUUAGCAUGGAAUAAUAAGAUAGGACCUCGGUACUAUUUUGUUGGUUUGAGAACCAAGGUAAUGAUGAAUAGGGACAGUUGGGGGUAUUCGUAUUCAGUUGUCAGAGGUGAAAUUCUUAGAUUUACGGAAGACGAACUACUGCGAAAGCAUUUACCAAGGAUGUUUUCA